UGGGAUAUUUCUAUCAGAUGUGAUACUUUAAGGUUAAAUGUUUAUCAGUAAACUUCUUAUUGCCUUGGAAAUAGGAAACAUCAGUUCUGUUGGCAUUAAAUAAAGUGAAAGAAUGCAAGGCUAGGCUCAUGGCUAGAAAACAGUAUUCUGAAGAUUGCUUUUCUUUUACUGAUACAACACAGAAUGAGGCAGUGCUGAUAAGAAGAAAAGGAGAACUUUGGGAACCGAGAAGCCAGUGACUUGACCUGGUGGUGGUGUAUUUCAUGCUUUUUCCAGGUAGAUUCCUUAGAAAUCUGUGUACCUGGGGCCAGAAAGGAACUCUUGCUUGUAAUUCAGCUCUCUAAGGCCUCAUUUCUGCACAGGACUGCCAGCCCACCACUUCUGGGAAUAGAGCAAACGGGAAGGAUGAGGGUAAGAUUAUGAGGUAGGUGAGAGCUAUCAGGGAAAGAAAUUUAAAUGACUGUUGUCCUAAAUCUGUCAGAAAACAAAUAAACAAAAAAUGUUGUGCUGUAAAGAUGAACGA
rnacentral:lncRNA from 1 species